rnacentral:rRNA from 1 species
AUUGAACGCUGGCGGCAGGCCUAACACAUGCAAGUCGAGCGAGCGGCGGACGGGUGAGUACUGUCUGGGAAACUGCCUGAUGGAGGGGGAUAACUACUGGAAACGGUAGCUAAUACCGCAUACCAUCAGAUGUGCCCAGAUGGGAUUAGCUAGUAGGUGGGGUAACGGCCCACCUAGGCGACGAUCCCUAGCUGGUCUGAGAGGAUGAACAGCCACACUGGAACUGAGACACGGUCCAGACUCCUACGGGAGGCAGCAGUGGGGAAUAUUGCACAAUGGGCGCAAGCCUGAUGGAGCCAUGCCGCGUGUAUGAAGAAGGUCUUCGGGUUGUAAAGUACUUUCAGCAGGGAGGCGUUACCCACAGAAGAAGCACCGGCUAACUCCGUGCCAGCAGCCGCGGUAAUUC